rnacentral:rRNA from 1 species
ACGCUCGACACCUACGGAGGCAGCAAUGGGGAAUAUUGCACAAUGGGGGAAACCCUGAUGCAGCGACGCCGCGUGGAGGAAGAAGGUCUUCGGAUUGUAAACUCCUGUUGUUGGGGAAAAAGAGGAUGGUACCCAACAAGGAAGUGACGGCUAACUACGUGCCAACAGCCGCGGUAAUCUGAGCGGGCUGGCAAGGC